GUCAUAAUAAGCUGCAGCUAAUUCUUUUAAAUAUCCAAAAUCUAUUUGAAUCCCACCUUCAUAUUUUUUCACAAACCAUAAAUGUCUCAUUAUACUCCAAUCAACUAAUUAAUUUUUUAUCGAUCAGUGAAAUUUUAUAUAGCUGAUUUCAACUUAUUUGACAUUGAGAAGUAACUGAUAUUGUGUAUGUUAUUGUUGUUGAUCAGAGUUAUUGCUUAUAAUGGAUGUGAAGAAUUGGUAUAGAAGCUUUAGCACAAGAAGAAAAAGUGUUCAACUAGGAAGAAAUGAUCAAGAUGAUAAUAUUGAAGGAGUGAAAGAAUCAAUUUCUAAAAGUAGAGGUAGCAAAAGUUCAAUUUGGAAAGUAUUGUGGAAGAAGUUGUCAAAAGAGAAGAAGAAAAAGAAGAAUGGAUUAAGACUUGAGUUUUCUAGGUCAGUGCAUGUUCAAGCUCCUCGUUAUGAUGAAUUCACUUAUGCACAAAAUUUUGAUGACGGUUUCAAUUUGGAUGAACCUGAUCAUCUCUUCAAGUCAUUCUCUGUUCGCUAUGCUGAUUCAUCCAAACUACUUUUAGAGUAAUUAAGAGAUAUGUAUGAUCAUGACGAUAUCAAAGGAGUGAAAGAAUCAAUUUCUAAAAGUGGAGGUAGCAAAAGUUCAAUUUGGAAAGUUUUGUGGAAGAAGUUGGCAAAGGGAAGAAGGAGAAUGGAUUAAGGCUCGAGUUUUCUAGAUCAGUGCAUAUUCAAGCUCCUCGUUAUGAUGAAUUCACUUAUUCACAGAAUUUUAACGAUGGCUGCAAUUUGGAUGAACCCGAUCAUCUCUUCAAGUCAUUCUCUGUUUGUUAUGCUUAUUCAUCUAAACUACUUUUAGAGUAAUUGAGAGAUAUGUAAAUCGUGUAAUUAGUGAUGGAGCAUGCAAGAGUUUCUUAUUAAUCUCCUUGGGAAUUUUUUUAUUCUUAAUCUCUAUGUUCAUGCAUAUUUAAUUGUGCC
rnacentral:lncRNA from 1 species